rnacentral:sRNA from 1 species
UUUUUUUUUGGUGUUUUU